GAUGAACGCUAGCGGCAGGCUUAACACAUGCAAGUCGAGGGGCAGCGGAGAGUAGCAAUACUCUGCCGGCGACCGGCGAAAGGGUGCGUAACGCGUGAGCAACUUGCCCGUAUCCGGGACAUAAGCGGUGGAAACGCCGUCUAAUUUCCCAUAACAACGAGGGCCGCAUGACCCAUGUUUGAAAGAUCCGUCGGAUACGGAUGGGCUCGCGAGACAUUAGCUAGUCGGCGUGGUAACGGCACACCGAGGCGACGAUGUCUAGGGGUUCUGAGAGGAAGGUCCCCCACACUGGAACUGAGACACGGUCCAGACUCCUACGGGAGGCAGCAGUGAGGAAUAUUGGUCAAUGGGCGCAAGCCUGAACCAGCCAUGCCGCGUGAAGGAAUAAGGCCCUAUGGGUCGUAAACUUCUUUUGUGGUGGAGCAAUAAGGUGCACGUGUGCAUCGAUGAGAGUACAUCACGAAUAAGCAUCGGCUAACUCCGUGCC
rnacentral:rRNA from 1 species